rnacentral:tRNA from 1 species
GGCCCCAUCGUCUAUCGGUCAGGACAUUAGGUUUUCAACCUAAGAAGAGGAGUUCGACUCUCCUUGGGGCUG